rnacentral:rRNA from 1 species
AUUGAACGCUGGCGGCGUGCUUAACACAUGCAAGUCGAACGGUAAGGCCCUUCGGGGUACACGAGUGGCGAACGGGUGAGUAACACGUGGGUGAUCUGCCCUGCACUUCGGGAUAAGCCUGGGAAACUGGGUCUAAUACCGGAUAGGACCACUGCCUGCAUGGGUGGUGGUGGAAAGCUUUUGCGGUGUGGGAUGGGCCCGCGGCCUAUCAGCUUGUUGGUGGGGUGAUGGCCCACCAAGGCGACGACGGGUAGCCGGCCUGAGAGGGUGACCGGCCACACUGGGACUGAGAUACGGCCCAGACUCCUACGGGAGGCAGCAGUGGGGAAUAUUGCACAAUGGGCGCAAGCCUGAUGCAGCGACGCCGCGGGAGGGAUGACGGCCUUCGGGUUGUAAACCUCUUUCAGCACCGACGAAGCGCAAGUGACGGUAGGUGCAGAAGAAGGACCGGCCAACUACGUGCCAGCAGCCGCCGUAA